AACGUAGGACGCAAGCGUUAUCCGGAGUUACUGGGCGUAAAGCGCGGGCAGGCGGCUUGCAACGUCUGAUGUGAAAUCUCCUCGCUCAACGGGGAGAGGCCAUUGGAAACGGUCGAGCUGGAGGGCAGUAGAGGUAGGCGGAAUUCCGGGUGGAGUGGUGAAAUGCGUAGAGAUCCGGAGGAACACCAGAGGCGAAGGCGGCCUACUGGGCUGCACCUGACGCUGAGCCGCGAAAGCCAGGGGAGCGAACGGG
rnacentral:rRNA from 1 species